UGCCUGUCAGUCUACACUUUCACUUUGCGUAUUUAUCGAGCAGCUUUCCACUCAAAAAUACUACGAAAAUACACCAUAAACUUCAACUUUAAAGACAUGUUUGGCGGGCUAGAAAGGGUGAAGGUAUAAUUUCGCCGGUUUAACCUUCUUGCUGAAACACUUCAUAAGAAAACGAGCCGUAAACAACACGGUGAGCUAACUGAAGCAACAAUGUUCAGGCAUCUAAAGUAAGCUAACAGUCACCUGUCGACUCUAACCUCCUGCACAGCGAACAGACUACCUCCGUUGCCCAGCGGCUCCAGCUGACCUCACACUAUGGAGCGGACUGCACUCAAACAGAGCCAGCCGUGUGGCUCCUGGGAGAUGAAGGAGAGACUGGGGAUGGGAGGCUUUGGGCACGUCUACCUGUACCAGCACCUUGAGUUAGGGGAGAAGAUUGCAGUGAAACUUUGCCGCCUGGAGCUAAACUCCAAGAACAAAGAUCGCUGGGGCAGAGAGAUUCAGAUCAUGAGGAAGCUGAACCAUGUGAAUGUCGUUCAGGCUAGAGAAGUUCCAGAGGAGAUGAGCUCUAUUGCUUUAAAUGACUUACCUCUGUUGGCCAUGGAGUACUGCUCAGGAGGAGACCUACGCAAGGUUUUGAAUAAACCAGAAAACUGUUGUGGGCUAAAGGAGAGUGAAGUCCUCUCGCUGCUCAGUGACAUAGGUUGUGGUAUCCAAUAUCUCCAUGAAAAUAAGAUAAUCCACAGAGACCUAAAGCCAGAGAACAUAGUUCUGCAGGAGAUCAGUGGCAAGCUUAUCCAUAAAAUUAUAGAUCUGGGUUAUGCUAAAGACCUAGAACAGGGCAGUCUCUGUACAUCCUUUGUUGGAACUCUCCAGUAUUUGGCUCCAGAGCUGUUUGAGAGUAAACGCUACACUGUAUCCGUGGACUACUGGAGCUUUGGGACAGUGAUCUUUGAAUGUACUUGUGGCUUUCGCCCCUUUUUACAUCACAUGCAGCCUGUACAGUGGACAAGUAAAGUGAAGAACAAAGGUCCUAAAGACAUCAUGGCAGUGGAGGACAUGAAUGGAGAAGUCAGAUUCUCAACACAUCUCCCAUAUCCCAACAAUCUCAGCCGGCCUCUGCUGGAACCAGUUGAGUCUCUACUGCAGAUGCUGUUAAUGUGGGAUGCUGCAACACGUGGUGGAGAGCUGCAUCCUGACACAAACAAGCCAUUCUGCUUCACAGCUCUGCAGAAUAUUCUCAGCAUGAAGGUGAUUCAUGUGUUGGACAUGACGUCAGCCCAGCUGCACUCUUUGGUUUUGGGUGCUGAGGAGAACUUGCACUCCCUGCAGCUUCGUCUAGAGACACAUACUCAGACACACAUCUCCCCGCUGAGUCAAGAGCUGCUGCUGGAGACGGGAAUCUCCCUGGACCCACGCAGAACACCCGCACACUGUCUGCCAGAGGGAUUGCGAGGCUGGGACAGCUCCAUAGUCUUCCUGUUUGAUAAGAGCCUGACCAAGUACUCUGGGCCACUGACUGCCAGACCUCUGCCAGACAGUGUCAACUUUAUAGUCAGGGAAACUAAGACACAGCUCCCACUGUCUGCACUGAGAAAGGUGUGGGGGGAAGCUGUCAGCUACAUCUGCGGGCUGAAAGAGGACUACAUCCGCCUUUACCAGGGACAGAGGGCCGCAAUGCUGAGCCUGCUGCGCUACAACACCAACUUAACUCGGUACAAGAACCUGCUGUUCUCCCAGUCGCAGCAGCUCCGAGCCAAACUGGCUUUUUUUAAGACCAGCAUCCAGCACGACCUUGAGCAGUACACCAAGCAGAGACACAUGGGCAUCUCUUCUGAAAAAAUGCUGAAGACCUGGCAGGAAAAUGAAGAGAAAGCUGAUGAGUUUACAAAGGUUGCAGAUGUGGGGUAUCUGGAUGAAGAGAUAGUGGCUCUACAUUCUGAGAUUGUGGAGUUGCAGAGGAGUCCAUUCGCGAGGAGACAGGGGGACGUAAUGGAACAGCUUGAAGACAAGGCUAUUGAACUCUACAAGCAACUGAAAGCUAAAUGCAAAAGUCCUGACCCUCCACAUGGCUACAGUGACAGCUCAGACAUGGUGAAGAUGAUACUGCAAACAGUUCAGAACCAGGACAGAGUGCUGAAAGACUUGUACACUCACCUGAGUACAAUUCUUGUGUGCAAGCGACGCAUCGUUGAUUUGUUCCCAAAGUUGGAGAGAGCGGUGGAGAACAUAAAAACCGCAGAGGCAGCAGUGAUGCAGAUGCAAAUGAAGAGACAGAAAGAGUUCUGGUACCUCCUCAAAAUUGCCUGUGUGAGUAAAAAACAAGAGGCACUACAGAGAAUACUCUCAGCUGUCAGAAAAUGUGAUUACAUGGACUUUAAUGACCCGUUUAUGAUACUUAUUGUUAUAUUACUGUUAUAUUAUUGGGAAUAUGGCCUAAAGAGCACGGACAUUCUUAUUUAAGCUGGCGCUGUGUUGUUUACAGCAGGUAAUUGGAAAUGACAGUGUGAGGAAAUAUUAAACACGACACUGUACAUUUCCAGCUACUUUCCUGUAACAGCUUUCUGCUCUUAGCUCAGGCACCAUCUUUCUCUCUCUCUCUAACUAUGUACUGAAAGAUUCUUGUGAGAAGCUACACUACUCCUAUAACAAUGUCCUCUGCUUUGACUUUCACCAUCACUUCGACUUCGUAGGAAAGGGGAGCAGUUAAUGAAGAUAUGCAGCUGCCUUUAUUACCAAAAGACAAAACCUAAUCCAUCCUUCAUCGCUCCAGAAGUAAGAUUUGGCUGACACUGCGUCUGUGCAGGCAGUCUGCAGCAGGCAACAAGGGGAAUAAGGCCCAGAGCAAUUCUCCAUCACAGUCACUUAUGCAACAACCCACUGACAGUGAAACUGUUCAUCAGUUACUGGAUGAGAAUCAGCGUUAUCUGAGUCAACUAACUUCUCUGCUGCAUGACGCCACCCAGG